rnacentral:rRNA from 1 species
GAUGAACGCUGGCGGCGUGCUUAACACAUGCAAGUCGAACGGGAAACCUUUUAUUGAAGCUUCGGCAGAUUUCGCUGGUUUCUAGUGGCGGACGGGUGAGUAACGCGUGGGUAACCUGCCUUCUACAGGGGGAUAACAGUCAGAAAUGGCUGCUAAUACCGCAUAAGCGCACAGAGCUGCAUGGCUCAGUGUGAAAAACUCCGGUGGUAUAAGAUGGACCCGCGUUGGAUUAGCUGGUUGGUGGGGUAACUGCCCACCAAGGCGACGAUCCAUAGCCGGCCGGAGAGGGUGAACGGCCAGAUUGGGACUGAGACACGGCCUAGACUCCUACGGGAGGCAGCAGUAUGGAAUAUUGCACAAUGGGGGAAACCCUGAUGCAGCGACGCCGGGUGAAGGAAGAAGUAGCUCGGUAUGUAAACUUCUAUCAGCAGAGAAGAUAAUGACGGUACCUGACUAAGAAGCCCCGGCUAACUACGUG